GGGCUUGUAGCUCAAUGGAUAGAGCAACCUGAGGUCACAAUCGUUGACUGCAGUGUUUCUUGUGGGUUCAACUCCCACCAAGCCCC
rnacentral:tRNA from 1 species